UACAGAGGUCCCAAGCGUUGUUCGGAUUCAUUGGGCGUAAAGGGUGUGUAGGUGGCACCGUAAGUCGGGUGUGAAAUCUCGGAGCUUAACUCCGAAACUGCAUUCGAUACUGGCGUGCUUGAGGACUGGAGAGGAGACUGGAAUUUACGGUGUAGCAGUGAAAUGCGUAGAUAUCGUAAGGAAGACCAGUGGCGAAGGCGGGUCUCUGGACAGUUCCUGACACUGAGACACGAAGGCCAGGGGAGCAAACGGG
rnacentral:rRNA from 1 species